GUGCUCACUUCGGCAGCACAUAUAUUAAAAUUGGAAAGAUACAGAGAAGACUAGCAUGGCCCCUGCGCAAGGAUGACACGCAAAUUCGCAAAGUGUUCCAUAUUUUA
ensembl:snRNA U6 U6 spliceosomal RNA